rnacentral:rRNA from 1 species
UCAAGAAUAUUCCUCAAUGGACGAAAGUCUGAAGGAGCGACGCCGCGUGCAGGAUGAAGGUCUUCGGAUCGUAAACUGCUUUUAUUAGGGAAGAAUUAGUGACGGUACCUAAUGAAUAAGAGGUUGCUAACUCUGUGCCAGCAGCAGCGGUAAUACAGAGACCUCAAGCGUUAUCCGGAUUUAUUGGGCGUAAAGCGUCCGCAGGUGGUUUAGCGGGUCAGGGGUUAAAGCCUAACGCUUAACGUUAGGACUGCCUCUGAAACUACUAGACUAGAGUACGGAAGAGGUGAGCGGAAUUCUCGGUGUAGUCGUAAUAAGCGUUGAUAUCGAGAAGAACACCAAAUGCGAAGGCAGCUCACUAGUACGUAACUGACACUCAUGGACGAAAGCGUGGGGAGCAAACAGG